GGGGGAAUAUUGGACAAUGGGCGCAAGCCUGAACCAGCCAUGCCGCGUGGGUGAAGAAGGCCCUAGGGUUGUAAAGCUCUUUCACCGGUGAAGAUAAUGACGGUAACCGGAGAAGAAGCCCCGGCUAACUUCGUGCCAGCAGCCGCGGUAAUACGAAGGGGGCGAGCGUUGUUCGGAUUUACUGGGCGUAAAGCGCACGUAGGCGGACUUUUAAGUCAGGGGUGAAAUCCCGGGGCUCAACCCCGGAACUGCCUUUGAUACUGGAAGUCUGGAGUAUGGUAGAGGUGGGUGGAAUUCCGAGUGUAGAGGUGAAAUACGUAGAUAUUCGGGGGAACACCAGUGGCGAAGGCGGCUCACUGGACCAUUACUGACGCUGGGGUGCGAAAGCGUGGGGGGCAAACAGG
rnacentral:rRNA from 1 species